AGCGGCGGGAAACAGGCUACUGGCCCUGUGUAGGCCUCUGUGGAGGCGAAUCCGGCGCGUAUCUGAACCAUCAGAACCGCCACCAUGACGGUGGGCAAGAGCAGCAAGAUGCUGCAGCACAUUGACUACAGGAUGAGGUGCAUCCUGCAAGACGGCCGGAUCUUCAUAGGCACCUUCAAGGCUUUCAACAAGCAUAUGAACUUGAUCCUCUGUGACUGUGAUGAAUUCAGGAAGAUCAAGCCAAAGAACUCUAAGCAAGCAGAAAGAGAAGAGAAACGAGUCCUCGGUCUGGUGCUGCUGCGAGGGGAGAACCUGGUCUCCAUGACAGUGGAAGGACCUCCUCCCAAAGAUACUGGCAUUGCCCGAGUGCCACUUGCUGGAGCUGCUGGGGGCCCAGGAAUCGGUAGGGCUGCGGUAGGGCUGCGGGUAGAGGAAUCCCAGCUGGUGUUCCCAUGCCACAGGCUCCUGCAGGACUUGCUGGGCCAGUCCGUGGGGUUGGUGGGCCAUCCCAACAGGUGAUGACCCCACAAGGAAGAGGCACUGUUGCGGCUGCUGCAGCUGCCGCCACAGCUAGUAUUGCAGGGGCCCCGACCCAGUACCCGCCUGGCCGUGGGGGUCCUCCUCCACCUAUGGGCCGAGGGGCACCCCCUCCAGGAAUGAUGGGCCCUCCUCCUGGCAUGCGACCACCUAUGGGUCCCCCAAUGGGGAUCCCUCCUGGACGAGGGACUCCUAUGGGCAUGCCCCCUCCAGGGAUGCAGCCCCCUCCCCCAGGGCCCCCUCCCCCGGGAAUGCGCCCACCAAGGCCCUAGACUC